CUCCUGAUAUAGACAUGUGACCACUGCAGCCAAUCAUAGGCUGUCACAUGCUUGUAUAGAGAUGUGCCAAGAAGCAAAGACCGGCGGAGAAUCCAGGAAGCAUGGGAACUGGGAUAUUACUCACUCCAUAUUGACUUUCCCAGGAUCAGGGAGGACAACCCCCGGUCCGGACAGCGCCGGUGCAAAUAACAUCAUGUACCGCGUUGUCCUGCCGCUAGUAGUAUUCCUAUUGGUCGCCGCCGUGAUUAUCAUCUUUUGCUGUUACAAGUACAAGGCCUGGCG